AUUCAAUACUUAGACUUUUGGAACUGUGUUAUUUCAUUUGUUCACUAAAGUAUUGUUUAUAUUAUCUGCAGCUUUUUCAACAACGGAUCUGUACAAUAAAUACAGGAACAGCAGCUCAACUGUCUCAACGAUCUGUGUACCAAUUCUGCUGUUGAUAUCUGCCUGCCUGAUUCAACUUAAACAAUUGUUUUAGAAGACAUUCAUCUGGAAGAUAAGAAAUAUUGUAACAUUCCAUCACUUUUUUUUGUAUGUGUA
rnacentral:sRNA from 1 species